CAAUAGCGUAUAUUUAAGUUGUUGCAGUUAAAAAGCUCGUAGUUGGAUUUCGGUUAAGAGCGACCGGUCCGCCGUUUGGUGUGCACUGGUUGGUUUUAACUUCCUGUAGAGGACGUGCUCUGGGUUUAACGACCUGGACUCGGAGUCUACGUGGUUACUUUGAAAAAAUUAGAGUGUUCAAAGCGGGCUUACGCUUGAAUAUUUCAGCAUGGAAUAACACUAUAGGACUCCUGUCCUAUUUCGUUGGUCUCGGGACGGGAGUAAUGAUUAAGAGGAACAGUUGGGGGCAUUCGUAUUUCAUUGUCAGAGGUGAAAUUCUUGGAUUUAUGAAAGACGAACUUCUGCGAAANCANNNGCCAAGGAUGUUUUCAUNAG
rnacentral:rRNA from 1 species